UACGGGGGGGGUAAGCGUUGUUCGGAAUUACUGGGCGUAAAGGGCUCGUAGGCGGCCAACUAAGUCGGACGUGAAAUCCCUCAGCUUAACUGGGAACUGCGUCCGAUACUGGAUGGCUUGGAUUUGGGAGAGGGAUGCGGAAUUCCAGGUGUAGCGGUGAAAUGCGUAGAUAUCUGGAGGAACACCGGUGGCGAAGGCGGCAUCCUGGACCAAUAUUGACGCUGAGGAGCGAAAGCUAGGGGAGCAAACGGG
rnacentral:rRNA from 1 species